CCUACGGGGGGCAGCAGUGGGGACUAUUGCACAAUGGGGGAAACCCUGAUGCAGCGACGCCGCGUGAGUGAAGAAGUAUUUCGGUAUGUAAAGCUCUAUCAGCAGGGCAGAAAAUGACGGUACCUGAUUAAGAAGCCCCGGCUAACUACGUGCCAGCAGCCGCGGGAAUACGUAGGGGGCCAGCGUUAUCCGGAUUUCAUGGGUGUAAAGGGAGCGUAGACGGCAGCAAAAGUCUGUAGUGAAAGGCCGGGGCUUAACCCCGGAACUGCUAUGGAAACUGUGCAGCUAGAGUGCAGGAGAGGUAAGUGGAAUUCCUAGUGGAGCGGUGAAAUGCGUAGAUAUUAGGAGGAACACCAGUGGCGAAGGCGGCUUACUGGACUGUAACUGACGUUGAGGCUCGAAAGCGUGGGGAGCAAACAGGAUUAGAGACCCCUGUAGUC
rnacentral:rRNA from 1 species